AUAAGAGGUCCAGCCUGCCCAGUGACUAAUGUUCAACGGCCGCGGUAUCCUAACCGUGCGAAGGUAGCGUAAUCACUUGUUCUUUAAAUGUGGACUAGUAUGAACGGCACCACGAGGGUUAUACUGUCUCCCUUCUCCAAUCAGUGAAACUAAUCUCCCCGUGAAGAAGCGGGGAUAUACUUAUAAGACGAGAAGACCCUAUGGAGCUUUAAAGUUAUCUUCAAACGCCAAACCUCUUCCAAGUCAUAGACUCCUUCACGAAACCACGCGCCAUGAAGACAACUUUUAGGUUGGGGUGACCAUGGAGUAUAAAACAACCUCCACGCUGAACAGGCCUCUAAACCUUUAGCCAAGGGCCACAGCCCGCCGCACUAAAAAAUUAACACACAUUGAUCCAAUGAAUUUUGAUCAACGAACCAAGUUACCCUAGGGAUAACAGCGCAAUCUACUUCAAGAGUUCCUAUCGACAAGUGGGUUUACGACCUCGAUGUUGGAUCAGGGUGUCCCAGUGGUGCAGCCGCUACUAAUGGUUCGUUUGUUCAACGAUUAAAACCCUACGUGA
rnacentral:rRNA from 1 species